GAUGAACGCUGGCGGCGUGCCUAAUACAUGCAAGUCGAGCGAACAGACGAGGAGCUUGCUCCUCUGACGUUAGCGGCGGACGGGUGAGUAACACGUGGAUAACCUACCUAUAAGACUGGGAUAACUUCGGGAAACCGGAGCUAAUACCGGAUAAUAUAUUGAACCGCAUGGUUCAAUAGUGAAAGACGGUUUUGCUGUCACUUAUAGAUGGAUCCGCGCCGCAUUAGCUAGUUGGUAAGGUAACGGCUUACCAAGGCAACGAUGCGUAGCCGACCUGAGAGGGUGAUCGGCCACACUGGAACUGAGACACGGUCCAGACUCCUACGGGAGGCAGCAGUAGGGAAUCUUCCGCAAUGGGCGAAAGCCUGACGGAGCAGCGCCGCGUGAGUUAUGACGGUCUUCGGAUCGUAAAACUCUGUUAUUAGGGAAGAACAAAUGUGUAAGUAACUAUGCACGUCUUGACGGUACCUAAUCAGAAAGCCACGGCUAACUACGUG
rnacentral:rRNA from 1 species